GCGGGUGUAGUUUAGUGGUAAAACUACAGCCUUCCAGGCUGUUGUCGCGAGUUCGAUUCUCGUCACCCGCU
rnacentral:tRNA from 1 species